rnacentral:rRNA from 1 species
CCUACGGGUGGCAGCAGUAGGGAAUAUUGCUCAAUGGGGGAAACCCUGAAGCAGCAACGCCGCGUGCAGGAUGAAGGUUUUCGGAUUGUAAACUCCUUUUGUUAGAGAAGAUAAUGACGGUAUCUAACGAAUAAGCACCGUCUAACUCCGUGCAAGCAGCCGCGGUAAUACGGAGGGUGCAAGCGUUAGCCGGAAUCACUGGGCGUAAUGAGCGCGUAGGCGGGUUAGCAAGUCAGAUGUGAAAUCCUUGGGCUUAACCAUAGAACUGCCUUUGAAACUGUUGUUCUAGAGUAUGGGAGAGGUAGGUGGAAUGCUUGGUGUAGGGGUGAAAUGCGUAGAGAUCAAGAGGAAUACUGAUUGCGAAGGCGGCCUACUAGAACAUAACUGACGCUGAGGCGCGAAAGCGUGGGGAGCAAACAGGAUUAGAUACCCUAGUAGUC